CCAACCCUAUUAAAGCUCCCAUAAACUCACGCAUACACUGAACUACCAACCCGCAACGAAGAGAAACGUCAAACUGAAAAAUAUCAUAAGUGAUGUGUUGUGCUGUGCUGUGACGGAAUUGUACAUUAUCCAGGCUGAAACGGACCAACAAAAACAACAAAAACAAACCUCAUUCGGAUGAGAGGUUGGGAUAAGUUCGGCACGGUACUGGACGGUAUCGGACGACGAAUUGUGGACAUUUGAAGCGGACUAUGGAAUUGAGAGAUGUCGCCUGUCGACUAAUAGCUGCGGAUGUGACGGCAAAUCGGACUACGUUUACAACCCCUGUCGUAUCUUUUCCAUGAUUAGAAAAAUCGAUCCUGUCCUACCUAACCUUGCAAUGGACGAUUCAAAAUAAUUCAUAGUCACAGAUAUUCCCUGAUUAAACACCAUAUCAGUGCUAACACUAGCCUGAGCUUAGAAUUGAUAAAUUUAUAAUGUUCAUUGUUCUUCCAUUGUGUUCGCGAUUCUGGUAAAACCGUAUAUCAAAGUUUGUAGAAUUACUUGGACCAAUAAUACUUUCAUUAGACACCAUUAUGAACCUCAUACUUGACCUCAUAUUAAUCCGGGUUUGAAUAUGAGUUAAUUCAUGAGGCUGUUUAACAUAUAGGGUUCCGGAAUUCGCGGAGCGCACCAUGUUUUAAAAUGCAAGCGAAUUCAUCUUAGAGCUUCAGGUGGUCUCCUGUAUAUAGAUGACGCAACUGUCGUAGGGAUUAAAAUAGGUUUGUUCCUGUACUACGGCACGCAAAAUACGCAACGUGUUCUUAAUGGCGUGUUUGCUAAGAAUCGGUAGACAGACUCGGUUGAUUAUUGGAAUUAUUACUUUACAUGUAAUGUGGUAUGGAAUUCACGUAUUAUUGUGAAUGUGAAUUGUAUGGAAUUCACGUGAUCAUAUGUUAUCUAUACCCAACAAACAACGAAAGCUGAACAAGCCAUUACGAGGGAAUAAACUGAACAAUCCAGUUUAGGGAAUUAGCCAUAAUCCAGCUAAAUUGUUGGGUAUGCUUGGUGAAUACCGAAAUGGUUCUAGGCGUUUUCUGAAUGACCCUUGAACUAAAUCGAGUAAUUUUUAGUUGUGAGAAGCGAGUUAAGCUACCAUUGAUUACUAUAACACUUUUCAAUUUCCCCUAGUUUGAUAUUAAUUAAAAUAAUUCAAUAAUAAAAUUGUCCAAUAUAGUAGGAAAGAAUUAUAUCGAAUAUGCAGUCA